UACGGGGGGGGCAAGCGUUGUUCGGAAUUACUGGGCGUAAAGGGCGCGUAGGCGGCCAUCUAAGUCAGACGUGAAAUCCCCCGGCUUAACCUGGGAACUGCGUCUGAUACUGGAAGGCUUGAGUAUGGGAGAGGGAUGUAGAAUUCCAGGUGUAGCGGUGAAAUGCGUAGAUAUCUGGAGGAAUACCGGUGGCGAAGGCGGCAUCCUGGACCAUUACUGACGCUGAGGCGCGAAAGCUAGGGGAGCAAACGGG
rnacentral:rRNA from 1 species